UGUGGCCAUCACCCUUAAUAAAAGGCUAAUUCUGUUGUUGUUUGUUCAGUUCCAGCUUGUUCAGAGAUGACAUUACAGCACCUGCUGCCUGAAUCACUGCUGACAACUACAAAGGUCCAGUGGAGGAUCUGCUUCAUAAGCUGUAAUCGAAGAUUUCACAGCAUUUAAAUAGCAGGCUAACAAAUUAACUGUGAAACUCCUCCUUUUUGCAUAAAGUUAAAGAAACUCUUCUUGGAUGCCCUGCUUUUGCAAGACAACUUGUCAGAACUGGAGUUGAAGGAAUAGUGUCUAUCUUAAAUGCCUUUCUUAUGCUUUUUUUGCAUAAUUAGAAAGGGUCAGCAUUGACAAUUGAAACAAUUUGUUUUUCUUUAAGAAAACAUGGUUAGAUCUUUACUGUGUUUUUCAGGCCUUUGAGGGGGAAAACUAAGGCUUUUUGAGCACUUGCACUGGGUUGUUUAGAUUUUUAUUCAUGCACUCACAUAAAAUGGUACUUCAGAUACAUUUAAUCUGUUCUUUAUAAGAUCCCGAAGUAGAUUUACUUUUUAAUGUCAACUGCUAGUUCACUUGCUUUGAAGUGCUAUUAAUGAUACCUGAGCUGUAUAUCAUCAGUAGUGUGACCUUUCUGUAGCCCCAGCCCUGGAUCAUUAAAGCUGCAAGGAGCUUUGCUGUUAACUCCAGUGAGGAUCAGAUGACCCAUGCUACAUCAUACACUUCUUUGUAACAAGGCAGUAUAAGAUCAGAAUACAUUCAGUUCAUUUUUUGUAAAUUCUAUAGGUCAACUUCUUAGCUUGUUUCCACCUCCCACAAUCUUUAAAGCCUUCAUGACUUGUGCUGAUCUGGUUUUGUAAUGUAAUUAUUAAAAGCUUUUGAUAUUUAUAAGAGAUCUGAAACAUUUCUACUGAUUAAUUGUUGAUUCCCCAAGUGAUUCAGUUCUGUCAAUUUGUAAUAAAUA
ensembl:lncRNA